rnacentral:rRNA from 1 species
GUAGGGAAUCUUCCGCAAUGGACGCAAGUCCGACGGAGCAACGCCGCGUGAGUGAAGAAGGAUUUCGGUUCGUAAAACUCUGUUGUUAGAGAAGAACAGCGCAUAGAGUAACUGUUAUGCGUGUGACGGUAUCUAACCAGAAAGCCACGGCUAACUACGUGCCAGCAGCCGCGGUAAUACGUAGGUGGCAAGCGUUGUCCGGAUUUAUUGGGCGUAAAGCGAGCGCAGGCGGUCAAUUAAGUCUGAUGUGAAAGCCCCCGGCUCAACCGGGGAGGGUCAUUGGAAACUGGUUGACUUGAGUGCAGAAGAGGAGAGUGGAAUUCCAUGUGUAGCGGUGAAAUGCGUAGAUAUAUGGAGGAACACCAGUGGCGAAGGCGACUCUCUGGUCUGUAACUGACGCUGAGGCUCGAAAGCGUGGGUAGCAAACAGG